GGGCGCCUCUCGGAGCGCUCUGCCUGCGCUGCUCUUCCCUGCCCCUUUGCCUCCCCGGGCUGGGAAGGGAGGCCUUGGCCUCUCCCGGCCACCCCGCCUCCCCCUCGAUUCCCGGGUCCCCGAGUAUUUCAUUGUCCUUGGUGGAAUUGCAGUCCAGUGGCAUCUCCGAGCUGACGUUUCUGGUCUUUUCAUGUGUAAAUACAGUGCGAGUUUGCUAGAUUUGAUUUUUUUUAAUGCUUUAGAAAUCGAGGGGAUUUCAAAGUUAAUCGUUUCCCACCUCUCCUAAAGUGGGAGCUGAAAAACCCAAGCAGAUCCCAAAACCAUCAAAUGCUUUGGUGCAGAACAAGGUGCUGUAAAUAAUGAAAGCAGUGGCCUUCACUCUUUAACUUUUUUCAGUUGUUACCUCCUCUCCUAUCUUAAGCAGGGAGGAUUAUAGGCUGGAGUCAAUUCCUGAUAGCUCUGUCAUGCACAUAGGUAGGCUGUGACCUGGGAUGAGGGAUUUCUGUGCGGGGGGGGGGGUUUCUGCAAGGGGAAGUGCUGAUCCCAAUUGCUGUAUUUUCCCCCCCAAAUAAAACGGUGGAAGAACUAAAAAUGAGCCGUGGGGAUUACAGAACUCAUGACGUGUGCAGCCCUUGCAGUGCAGCAAAGCUGCUGGUGGCAUUUGUUUAAUUGUAACCAGCUCUGCUGCUUCAACUAUCAUUUUACAUUUCAUUUGUUGGAGCUGUGAGGAGCCUCCUGGCUGGCUCUGGCUGGUAACCUUAGCCUCGACCUUCAGAGAGAUGCUGGCCUCCUUAGCCCUGCUCCUGGUCCCUCCUGCAGCAUCCUGGGCCAUUUCAGUCAAAACAGUGUUUUGUUUUGAUCUGGUGAUUGCGAAGGAGAGGGGAGCUGCUGUGAGAGAGCUGAGUGGGAGGACCUGUGUUGGCUUCUACAGAAAGAGCCCUAAAAUGGAAAAGGGACUCUGUGUACGCUGCCAAUGUUCAGGUUUGUAAGAAGUCACCACAGCGUGCGAAAAAAUAGGUCUGUGACCAUCUUUCAGGCGUGAUUUCUGAUGCGUUCUGCUGAGAGGAGCACUGAAACCAGGCUUUUAACUAGUAACUAUAGUGAUUUUAUUUUUUUUUCCUGAAAUUUGCAUUGUAGGUUUGCCUCGGCUGGUAUUUCCAAGGCCCUUUUGGUCCUGGAAGCUCAGGAACUACACGAGCUAAACCUGAGGAGGUGUCAGAGUCUUUUUUUUAAUGCGGGGUGGCCUCAUCCUGGUAACAUAGGAAGGCAGAGGCUGUUUGUGCUGAUGAGUAAUCUGCUGGCAGGUUCUGCCCCGUGCUGACAGCACCGGGGAGCGGAGCCCGUGUGUCACCGGGCCCUCCUGCUCGGCAGAGGUGGAAGCACAGAUUGCCUGGAAGAGGUUCCUCCCCUCCCUCCUCGCUGUCCAAAAGGAGCUGCUCCCUGGGGGGGCUUUUCCCUGCCACUCCUGUUUUCUUGGCUGGCCUCUGGGAUGGAGCACGGCCUAGGCUUGGCUGCAGCUCCUGGAUCCACACGGGCUGAGCAAGGCCUGUAAUACAGGUGCUGAGAUCUGUUCCUGCGAGGCAGAGGAAGUUUUUGUGGUGAAAUGGGCUACACAGGUGUUGUCCUCACAUUUAGACACUGCUGUGGGCAGUCUGAAAUCCUUCUGCCUGCUGAGUGAAGCCUCCAAGGGGACAAGAGCGAGGUGGCUUUGUGGGUUUGCAGCUUGUCACCUUUUCAUGGGAACAGAGAGGUGAAAAUGCCAUUUCCUCUGUAGGAAAGGGAGGUCAUCUGGGGAGGCAGCGUGGGGCAGAAGUGCCGCAGCUCUGCAUACGUGUGCCUGAGAGCUGGUGAACAGCAUUUUCUCCCUGACUCAGCUGGAGGCCUGGGGAGCUCGAGGGCGGCCUGGUCUCUGCACUCCUGACGUCUGAAUCCGCGGCUGGAAAACCUCUUUGUAUCUGCAGUGGUGCUUCAGCAGUUUUGAAAAGGCAACUUGUGAGCUCUUGGCUAUUUCUGCUAAAAGGAAAAGUCCCCUGGGAAGCACUUUGUAGGAGGAGUAUCCUGUCUGGGACGGAACACCUCUGGUCCAGUUGCUUUAGGAGGCAGAUGGGAGGUCUGUGUUUUGGUGCAUGUGAAGCCUAGAAAAUAAACGAGGUGCAAAGUGGCUUCAAAGAAGGAAUCUCUGAGAUGAUGGUGUGGGGGAGACUUGAGUUGCAUGACUGAGGAACUGGUUGAACCAGAACUUUUGGAAUGGCAGUGUUGGGAUUUCCCUCUCUCUGUCAGAGCUGUGCCUGGUCACCCUGAAUUCUGCUGAGCAACCCUGCUGCCAGGGGUGUGCCCUGCCUGGGGUGGAGGCCUGGAUGCAGCACCAGCGUGUGCCAGGUGGCAAAUGGCUCCACGUGCUCGUUGGCUCUGCAUAGAUUCCCCAGAAUAUCUGCUGUGAGUGCACCCCCACCCCUGAAAAAUAGUUGUGUCUGGUUACUGCUUUCCUGAGCAGGGAGGAUCAUUCCUUCCUUGGGGAAGGAAGUAGAUGGGAAUAACAUAGAAGGAAUUUGAGUGAUUGGCUGUGGUGGUGAGGUACCCGUGAAUCAGUGGGGUUUUUUACAGUGUGUUGCAAUAGGUGACUCGCAGUUGAGUCUUUGUAGCUGUCUUGCUCUAUGUUAGCACGAAUAAUCUCUUAAAAUUCCCCUCAAAGUUUGCACAGGGAUUAACUGCUGUGGGAGGUCAGUGCUGCUGGCCUUGGGGUCUGCGGGGGCAGGGUUAAAGCCACACAGUGAGGGGGGUGUUGUUACUGGUUUUGGGGUGUUCACUGAGCUGAGGUGAAUACCCAGGAGCUGCUGGAGUGUGUGGGUGAGUCGGGCUGCUGUCUUGCUGUUUUGUUAUGAAAAGAAACCAAAACAGUGUGAUCAAAUCAGAUGCUGCUCUUUGUUUCCGCCUGUGUGUAGGGAGAAAAAAACCAAAACAACAAAAACCCACCCCCAAACCCCACACUGGAGUUGUAAGGAGGUCAGUGUCUGUCUGAGAAGGAUCAAAGAAACACUGAGAGGGAUGUUGCCAUAAAUCAGGAAUUUGCUAAGGAGUUUGAGGGAUGUGCAUGUGUGGCAAAGUACCACAAGCCAUGGGUACUCCUGAGCUAAAGCAAGGUGGGGAUUGCCCCAGUGUCCCAUUUUUGAGGGGAGGCUGUGUUUUGUGUGACUCUGUGUACUCACAGUAUUGUAAGAGAGUGCUGAGCUGACCCAAGGUGUGUAAGUGCUGUUGGGGCACAUGUGUGAGCAGGAUUUUGGUUGUCUUGCUCUGCUUCUAGCAAAAGGUGCAGGCUGAGUUUCUUCACGUCUGUGAAAAGUCACUUUUAAAAUUAGUAGUAUCUUUUCUGAAGGUCUUUUCCCCUGAAAGUGAGUAAGUAGGGGAUUCAGGUUUAAUGAUUGUCAAAUAUCUCACUGAAGCUUUUCACGUUCAUGCCCAUGUGCUGCCUGCUAGUGUAGAUUUGAAAGCUUUUAAUGGCAGACAUUAUAAACCAGUGCAAAGUCAGCUUACAUUUGCCAGCUGUGUUUUUUCCUCUGUAUUGAAAAGAAGGACAUGGUGGGAAUAUUUCAUCCUGACUUCCCUUGGCAGAGCUGCAGGCCAGCAAAGGCUGUGAGUGCCCAACCUGUGCCUGGUGGGGAAGGGGGUCCCCUGGCUGCCUAACUGUGUGGUUGGGCUGUUUGCAGGGGGCUCUGCCCAGCUCACCCUUAGGGCUUCCUCCCCCUGCACUGCUGUGACCUGAAGUCACUAAAAUUACACCUGACCUUCUUCUGAAAUAAUCACACUUUAAAAGAAACCCCAUCUGAGGUAAGUUGUGCAGAUUUUCGUGGCCCUCAGCCCGAUUCCAGUGUAGUUGGGUUCAACACGUCGCUUUGAAGUGCAUUUUGCGAGUUUUUGCUUUCUAGCUUCAGCCGAGGGCCAGCUGCUAAUCAGCUGACCAGUGACAUUUGGAUUAGGAAUUAAACUGUUUCUCCUCUUGGAAUGGGCCAUGUGAUUUUUAUUUUUUUAUUUUUUUCCCCGUUGCUUUUCCUGUGUUCCGUGUGAGGCAGCACAUGUACCCUGUGCUCUGCACUGCUGGGUGGGAUGUGGGAUCCUCUGCGUUCCUGCAGUCUGGUUUUCUGAGGGUACAAGCCCUCAAGGCAAAUUUGUGAAGAGUCCCAAGGGAGUUAUUUGGUAAAUGUCGAGGUCUCCCAGGUGUUUUGGUGCUUUCAGCAGCACAGCUUCUGCUGGGACAGCGUGUACCGUGGCCUGAGAUGUAAUCAGGGAGGAAAAGCAGGUGUUAGUGGAUUUAAGUGUGUAAGGAGGUGUGUAGCCCAGAGACUCACAUGGCCUGGCCUGGCCUGUGGGCUUUGUGCAGCGUGUCAGAGAGGACAUCUGGGGUCGUACCUGGGGUGGCUGGUUCCUUCCAUGAGAGCUGGGGUAGCUAAGAGCACAUUUAAGGGCAGUGUCAGCCCAGUGCAGUCAUGGGAGGGUGAGUCCUCUGCAGUCAGCAACCCAGGAAGGAACCUUCCCUGAUAAACCAGUUUGUAAUUCAAGCAGUCCUGCAACAGCCUUAUGAAGUUGUCGGUAUCAGAAAGCUUAGUUUUGGGAUUGGGUGACCAGGCACAGCUCUGACAGAGAGAGGGAAAUCCCAACACUGCCAUUCCAAAAGUUGGGGGGCUGGGGGAAGCACAGGGUUUAACUCUCCAACUCUGAUCUUGCAGAAGUGUCCUAGAGGUUAGAAACAGGUUGCUGUUGUCUGGUUGCAACACCAGCACUGGCAUUGUGGGUCUCAGGAGAACAGGUACUGCCAUGAUGUUUUUAUUGUGUCUUCGGCCUUCUCCCCUUUGUGCAGGAGCUUGUCAGCAGCUGAGGAGAGCAGGUGGGAAGUUACAAAUGUGCUGAAGACAAGCUGGAAUCCACUUUGGAUUUAGCACUUGCUGCCUUCCAAGCUCACCCACCUGCAUUAAUCAUGACUAAUAAGGCAUCAGGACUGACUAGGUGCUGCACACUGGCACUGGGAGCUGCUUCCUUUGAAGGUGACUUUUUUUCAGUGAAAACAGUGGUUUUUGGCCAAGCUGAGGCUGUGCCCGCUGGAAGGGCAGCAUGCCAACUGCAGGGUUUGUGCUGCUUCUCUGAAAAGUCACAACCAAUUUGCCCUCACUUGGAUGAAGUGUUUACUUGUGUUCCACAUGUGGAAGGAGACAGGAAGUCUCUGAGGAGAACAUGCCAUAAGCAAACUCAGUUUAUGGAGGAGUUGUCUCUUGAUAACGAGAGGUAACUGGAUAGAUAAGUUUCCCAGGAAAGGCUGCCUGCCUGCCUUCUUGGAUGGGGGAAGCACAGGAUGUCCUUGUGGUGGUACUGUGCUGGAAGUGUACCUCCUUGGAUCACAUACUGACUGCUGUACUUGGGGAGUGUGGGAACAACACUGACAGUGAUUUACAAGCACAGGGAAAAGAUCUGGAAAGGCUUAAGUGAGGCACUGCAAGGUAAUUGUCUCUCACUUGUGGCUUUUUAUCAUUAUGGAAACUUUCUCCUUUUGUAGGAGGUCCAGGAAUUGCCACGGAGCGCAGUGAAGGUUAUUGUUGGCUGCCUCCAGGGUGAUGCAGCAGAGUGGAGGCACAGGGGAGCUGCUGCAGCUCCUCCAAGGCUUACAGUGGAAGUUCGAGGACUAAAAUUGUCACAAUAGAGAGGGACUGAGUCUGCCUUGCCAAAUAAUGUGUUUGGAGGCAGCGUGUCUUGCUGCAGAGUAAUAAAACACUGUUCCAUCA